CAAGACCUGUCGUUAUCUCGCCAGGAAGAAGCCUAGCCGCCGGCUCCAGAGGGGUCACUUCCAGAUCCAGUGGGAAACGGAUGGGCACAAACCCCCGGUUCUGCAUUGCCAAAACCCGCCUCUGGCCUUUGUGUGUCCAGCUCAGAUUGUGGACUUCUGAAGUACAGGAAAUUGUGGCUUUCUUGAUUACACUGGUCAUCCCCCAUCCCAUGGGGCCGGCCUUCGGCACACACUGUAGAAAUAAAGACACUUUUCAAUGA